rnacentral:rRNA from 1 species
GUGUGUUUUGUUACGGGCGUAUGGUGGAUGCCUUGGCAUGCUGAGCCGAUGAAGGACGUGUGAGGCUGCGUUAUGCCUCGGGGAGUUGCCAACAAAGCGUUGAUCCGAGGAUGUCCGAAUGGGGAAACCCAGCACCGGUUGUGUGGUGUUACCCGCAGGUGAAUUCAUAGUCUGUGUGGGGGUUGACGCGGGGAAGUGAAACAUCUCAGUACCCGUAGGAGAAGAAAACAAUUGUGA